AUAGGUACUCAGGGGAGCUGCUUUAGCUGAGAGGGAAGCCGGCGCGCUUUCGACCCUUAUCACCAGAUCCGGAUAAUGCUGGCGCUGGGAGUUUUUGUAUAGGAGAA
rnacentral:ncRNA from 2 species